rnacentral:pre_miRNA from 2 species
CAACUCUCAUCUUACACCGUUGGAUCGAGAAAUGGACGUCCGAGAUUCAUCCACGUCAUCAUGAGUUAAAAUUUAACUCGCAGAUUCACUCAUGAGUUAAAAUUUACUGGGAGUUAAAUUUUAACUCAUAGUGAUGUGGACGAAUCUCGAACGUCCAUUUCUCGAUCCAACGCUGUAGAAUGAGAAUUG